rnacentral:rRNA from 1 species
ACGCGUACGGUACCGUCGCCCAUACAGGGGGAUAACAGUUAGAAAUGACUGCUAAUACCGCAUAAGCGCACAGUGCUGCAUGGCACAGUGUGAAAAACUCCGGUGGUAUGAGAUGGACCCGCGCUGAUUAGCUAGUUGGUGGGGUAACGGCCUACCAAGGCGACGAUCAGUAGCCGGCCUGAGAGGGUGAACGGCCACAUUGGGACUGAGACACGGCCCAA